GCGAAUGGCUCAUUAAAUCAGUUAUCGUUUAUUUGAUAGUACCUUACUACUUGGAUAACCGUGGUAAUUCUAGAGCUAAUACAUGCUGAAAACCCCAACUUCGGGAGGGGUGUAUAUAUUAGAUAAAAAACCAACGCCCUUCGGGGCUUCUUGGUGAUUCAUGAUAUCUUUACGGAUCGCAUGGCCUUGCGCCGGCGACGGUUCAUUCAAAUUUCUGCCCUAUCAACUUUCGAUGGUAAGGUAUUGGCUUACCAUGGUUUCAACGGGUAACGGGGAAUUAGGGUUCGAUUCCGGAGAGGGAGCCUGAGAAACGGCUACCACAUCCAAGGAAGGCAGCAGGCGCGCAAAUUACCCAAUCCCGACACGGGGAGGUAGUGACAAUAAAUACUGAUACAGGGCUCUUUUGGGUCUUGUAAUUGGAAUGAGUACAAUUUAAACCUCUUAACGAGGAACAAUUGGAGGGCAAGUCUGGUGCCAGCAGCCGCGGUAAUUCCAGCUCCAAUAGCGUAUAUUAAAGUUGUUGCAGUUAAAAAGCUCGUAGUUGAACCUUGGGUCUGGCUGGCAGGUCCGCCUCACCGCGUGUACUUGUCCGGCCGGGCCUUCCUUCUGGAGAACCUCAUGCCCUUCACUGGGCGUGUUGGGGACCAGGACUUUUACUUUGAAAAAAUUAGAGUGUUCAAAGCAGGCCUUUGCUCGAAUACGUUAGCAUGGAAUAAUAGAAUAGGACGUGCGGUCCUAUUUUGUUGGUUUCUAGGACCGCCGUAAUGAUUAAUAGGGACAGUCGGGGGCAUCAGUAUUCAAUUGUCAGAGGUGAAAUUCUUGGAUUUAUUGAAGACUAACUACUGCGAAAGCAUUUGCCAAGGAUGUUUUCAUUAAUCAGUGAACGAAAGUUAGGGGAUCGAAGACGAUCAGAUACCGUCGUAGUCAUAACCGUAAACUAUGCCGACUAGGGAUCGGGCGAUGUUCUUUUUCUGACUCGCUC
rnacentral:rRNA from 1 species